GGCUGAGAAGGGUUUUUUCCCAAGUUUAUUUUGCACAUUUGAGAAAUGUCCAUCCAAGUCCAUUCACCACGAGGGAUGGUCACAAACUGCAGCCACUGGCCUGUCUCUUUCCCUUGCUCGCCUCUUUCUGUGGGCAAUAUUUUUAAACUUCCUGAGCUGUCUGACACAGAGCAUGGCAGCCACUUCUGAAAAGUCAUCUGAUUCUGAAGAUUUGCACAAAACUGAUAUCCUGCCUGAAACAGGAAACCUGAGCAAGACCCGUUUCCUUGUCCCUACUCUGAGGGAGUGAAGAGGCCAGUGAGGAGCUGAGGCCAGUCACCACAGCGGCCGCUGGCAAGGAUUCCACAGGAAUGCACAAUUUGCCUGGUAAAGGAAGAACUUCCCUGGAUCAGUCACAGCAACUGCCCUGGGUUAUUCACAGGAACUUCCCCAGGUACCCACACCACCUGUGCUCUGCUGGCUGCUUUGAUUCCAGCUCUGCUUGCCCUGCACUGUUAAAUUGUCACAGAGCCUUGUAAACAGGAGCUCCCGGUUCCCUCGGAGUGGCGCGAGCAAACUAACAUCAUAACAGGAGUGUUUAUGGAAAAAUGCUCAAGCACUGAAGCAGAAAGGGCUUAGCACUGAUCAGACCUCUCUCCCACCUUUAUUCUUCGCCAUCCACAUUGAAAUGCAAAUACCAGCGCCGGGUUUCCACCAGCGUGCCACUCACAAAUUGAAAAGCAGUUUUUAUCUAUGCAAAUGUAAGCAUGGUAAUUGAAGUUAAUCAAUCAAUGCUAGCUUUCACUAAAACCUUGAACAUGAUUGAAUAAAGUAAUUAUCAUU